UUUCUGUUGUGACUUGGGAAACAUUGAAAUGGCUGCUGUCUUCUGCCCCGGCUUUAGUUUCUGACCUUGAUCCUGCUUGCCCGGAUCUGCAUAACCCAGGAGAGGUGGAUGAUAGCAUCAAAUGGCUUCUGAUUAUUUCUCUCCUCCUGGCUCCUUGCAACCAGGCUUCUGGAAGUCCUGCAUCAUGUGGCUAUCAUGUGGUUAACCCUUCAGCUCCCGAGUCUUGAGCACUUGAUGAGUAGUCAAAAGUUGAGCAAAUCCGAG
rnacentral:lncRNA from 1 species